rfam:Apaloderma vittatum contig50940, whole genome shotgun sequence.
UAGCUCAGUCAGUUAGAGCGUGGUUCUGAUAACACCAAGGUCAUGGGUUCGAUCCCCGU